rfam:Myroides profundi strain D25, complete genome.
ACUCAACACAAACAAAUUAAAAUGGGUGAAUCUUUGCAACUAAAGCAUGCUGCCUUGCGCAGAUCCUUGAAAAGCAAGCUAACUCAAAACUUGUUAAUAAGAGAGUUU